CGGUAUGACACCCACAGCCUGGUGUCGUAAAAUUCCAAAUGCAGCCAGCAAUUACCGCAUGCAUUUGUUUUGGAGAGUGAGAGGAUUAACUAACGUCAGAUAAAGAUGGAGAAGUUUUAGUGGUGUAAUGUCAUCACAUUGGAGUGAAGAUGAUUUUACAGAAUGAUGGUGAUGAUGGUUUAUUUUUUCAGAUGAGGAUGGAGACCUGGUGGCAUUUUCCUCUGAUGAUGAACUGAUGAUGGGUCUGGCCUGUAUGAAGAACGACACCUUCCGCCUCUUCAUCAAAGAUGCAGCAGCCAAACAGGCAGCCGUUUCCUCAUCCUCUGUGGUACAUCAAUGUACUUCAGUUCAACCUCCUGAACUUCCUGUUCUCCCCUCUUUUGAUGAUGUCACUGUCACAAAACCGCACUGACAGUGAGAAGAAAAAGACAUGGAUCAGGAAAGGUUGUUCUCAACAGGAGUCUGGCUUGUGGCUCCACUGUGAUGGCUGGCCGGUCUGCCCCCGCUCUCUCCUUCAUGUUUUAGCCUGCGUUGCACGCAGGCCUACACAUGUAGGAAAAGGGAGGAUAAUGACAUAAUCUGAUCGCAGUGGUUUGCACCAGGCAUUACGAAUGUUGCACAAACACUGGUGAAUAAUUGCAUGAUAUGUCAACAGACAAGACGAGCGGGUAAUACCAUCAGCCAUAACCAUUUGCCGCCGCCAUCAGGUCCUUUUGUAAAUAUGCAGAUUGAUUUUGUACAUAUGCCUAGCUGUCAAGGAUAGAAAUACUUGCUUGUAAUCACUGAUAUGUUUUCCAAAUGGGUGGAAGCAUAUCCAUCAAGAAAAGAAGAUGCAUGAACAGUUGUAGAAUGUUUGAUAAAAGAGCUUAUCCCGCAUUUAGGGGUAACUAUGGGAAUAAAUAGUGAUAGGGGCCCUGCUUUUGUUGCAAAAAUUACUCAGUCUUGCAUCAAUACUGGGGAUCCAGUGGAGAUUGCAUGUUCCCUAUCACCCACAGAGCUCAGGUCAAGUGGAGAGAAUGAAUUCCACCAUCAAAGGAAAGUUAACAAAGACUAUGACGACAACAGGGCUAAAAUGGCCUGAUGUCCUUCCAUUAGUGCUGUAUGCUAUUUGCAGCACAACAAACUCCACAACGGGACUUAGCCCCCAUGAAGUCUUGAUGGGUAGAGCUAUGACCAUUGGAGUCAGUGCACCUCUGACCCUGCAUCAAGUCACCCUAUUAUGGAUGGAUGAUUACAUGGUCAUGUAUGUCGUGUAGAGAUGUGCAUCUGCUUACAACAAAAUUCAAACAAACUUCUGUUAUCCUUUGUUUUUAAACACAGAAUAGCAAGCCCUUGGCCAGGACCAUUGCUGGCCUUCUGGUCAGGAAAAGACCAAUGUAGGGGGUCCGGGCCCCAGCAUGGAGGUCUUCAGACUCCCUGUGAAGGAGAGGUGGAGGUUGGAGCUGCAGAAGGGUGCUUGAUGCUAUGGAUUAGGGUGCUGAAG